GAUGAAGAACGUAGCGAAAUGCGAUAAGUAGUGUGAAUUGCAGAAUUCAGUGAAUCAUCGAAUCUUUGAACGCACAUUGCGCCCCUUGGUAUCCCGAGGGGCAUGCCUGUUCGAGCAUCAUUUCACCACUCAAGCCUGGCUUGGUGUUGGGCGACGUCCUCUUUGGGGACGCGCCUCGAAACGCUCGGCGGCGUGGCACCGGCUUUAAGCGUAGCAGAAUCUUUCGCUUUGGAAGUCGGGGCCCCGUCUGCCGGAAGACCUGCUCGCAAGGUUGACCUCGGAUCAGGCAGGGAUACCCGCUGAACUUAAGCAUAUCAAUAAGCGGAGGA
rnacentral:misc_RNA from 1 species